rnacentral:rRNA from 1 species
CAAUAGCGUAUAUUAAAGUUGUUGCAGUUAAAACGCUCGUAGUCGGAUUUCGGGGCGGGGCCGCCGGUCUGCCGAUGGGUAUGCACUGGCGGUCGCGUCCUUCCUUCCGGAGACUGGCCCUACUCUUAACUGAGCGGGGUCGGGAGACGGAUCGUUUACUUUGAAAAAAUCAGAGUGUUUCAAGCAGGCAGCUCGCUCUUGCAUGGAUUAGCAUGGGAUAAUGAAAUAGGACUUUGGUGCUAUUUUGUUGGUUUCGAACACCGAAGUAAUGAUUAACAGGGACAGUCAGGGGCACUCGUAUUCCGCCGAGAGAGGUGAAAUUCUCAGACCAGCGGAAGACGAACCACUGCGAAAGCAUUUGCCAGGGAUGUUUNCACUGA